rnacentral:rRNA from 1 species
AGUGAACGCUGGCGGUAGGCCUAACACAUGCAAGUCGAACGGCAGCACAGUAAGAGCUUGCUCUUACGGGUGGCGAGUGGCGGACGGGUGAGGAAUACAUCGUAAUCUACUUUUUCGUGGGGGAUAACGUAGGGAAACUUACGCUAAUACCGCAUACGACCUACGGGUGAAAGCAGUGGAUCUUCGGACCUUGCGCGAUUGAAUGAGCCGAUGUCGGAUUAGCUAGUUGGCGGGGUAAAGGCCCACCAAGGCGACGAUCCGUAGCUGGUCUGAGAGGAUGAUCAGCCACACUGGAGCUUAGACACGGUCCAGACUCCUACGGGAGGCAGCAGUGGGGAAUAUUGGACAAUGGGCGCAAGCCUGAUCCAGCCAUACCGCGUGGGUGAAGAAGGCCUUCGGGUUGUAAAGCCCUUUUGUUGGGAAAGAAAAGCAGCAGGUUAAUACCCCGCUGUUCUGACGGUACCCAAAGAAUAAGCACCGGCUAACUUCGUG